rnacentral:RNase_P_RNA from 2 species
CGUGCAAGUCGUUUUGUCGCCGUCCUACCCCGAUUGCUACCGGGGUCGGGAGGGAGGAAAGUCCGGGCAACACAGAGCGCCAUACUUCCUAACGGGAAGGAUUUCUAUUGGUGACGAUAGGAAUACAGACAGGGCCACAGAAACAAACCGCCAAUCGAUACAGGGCUUGCCCUGAGUUUGUCGAAGGGUAAGGGUGAAAAGGUGGGGUAAGAGCCCACCGGUCCGGUGGUGACAUCGGAAGCUAGGCAAACCUUAUGGGUUGAAAGAUCAAAUAGGCCCCGGGCAAAGAGCUGCUCGUUCGAUUCUCGUUCAUUCGGGAUUCCGGGGUGGGUAGAUCGAUGGAUCCCGAUCGCAAGGCCGGGACUAGAUAAAUGACAAAAACUCUGGGCUGAUUUUAUCGGCAAAGGGAUACAGAACCCGGCUUACAGACUUGCACUUUUU